rnacentral:tRNA from 2 species
GCCCGGAUGGUGGAAUCGGUAGACACAAGGGAUUUAAAAUCCCUCGGCGUUCGCGCUGUGCGGGUUCAAGUCCUGCUCCGGGUACCA